AGAUGAACUCUCAUUAAAAUAGGACUUUAUUAUCAGCAGCAUGUACUGCUGCUAAAAAGACUAUUUUAAAAGUGUGGAAAGAACCGCAUGAACUAUCAGCAGUGUGCCGUUGAGAAAAGCUUUGAGACACUGAAGUGAUCAAAUGACGGUGUGAUGUUUGUCCCCAGCGCUGUGUGGAGCGGUCGAGGUUACUGGAGAAGUUCAGACAGAUGGGAGAGGAUUCGGAUGGAUCCAAGUGCUCGCUGCUCGUGCAGGAGGAGAUGGAGGAGGAAUGGAGCGCCUUACAGUCGUCCGAUCACAGUCUCUGGAAUGGAAGCGGCAUCAGAGAUGGUAGGAACGUUACAUCCGAGGUUUUGCAGAAUUGACUAGAACGACGCGUAACGGAGCACAUGGAGGACUGUCUUCACAGCCCCAGCUUCUCUGUGUCCUGUAACACUGACGGAUCACCAAACCUCACGAUCAGCUGCAAGGUGUGUCUGUCGUUCUGUGAGCCGUCCAGCCACACUGCAGAGAGUCUGAAGGAUGUUUUACAUGUUUUGAAGAUAUUAUUUCUGUGAAAUAGAGAAUUAUUUUAACCUUUGAUUCAUUUCCCUUAUUUGAGAGUCAUGAUGUAAAAGUACAUCUCUUGAAACUCUUGAUUUGUCCGAUCUGGAACAUGCUAUUAAAUGCACCACAGCCAUAUUUUUAUCCAUAAGCUGUUCUAGAUAAAAUCUCACAAUGCUUGUCAAGAACAUGUCUCAGUCAUUAACCUCUAAAUCAGAAAUAAAGCAUGCUUUAGCA